rnacentral:rRNA from 1 species
CUAGGGUCCGAGUUGUAAUUUGUAGAGGAUGCUUUUGGUGAGGUGCCGCCCGAGUUCCCUGGAACGGGACGCCGCAGAGGGUGAGAGCCCCGUCUGGCUGGCCACCGAGCCUCUGUAAAGCUCCUUCGACGAGUCGAGUAGUUUGGGAAUGCUGCUCAAAAUGGGAGGUAUAUGUCUUCUAAAGCUAAAUAUUGGCCAGAGACCGAUAGCGCACAAGUAGAGUGAUCGAAAGAUGAAAAGCACCUUGAAAAGAGGGUUAAACAGUACGUGAAAUUGUUGAAAGGGAAGCGCUUGUGACCAGACUUGGGCGCGGCGGAUCAUCCGGGGUUCUCCCCGGUGCACUUCGCCGCGUUCAGGCCAGCAUCAGUUCGGCGCGGGGGAAAAAGGCUUCGGGAACGUGGCUCCUCCGGGAGUGUUAUAGCCCGUUGCAUAAUACCCUGCGCUGGACUGAGGACCGCGCAUCUGCAAGGAUGCUGGCGUAAUGGUCACCAGCGACCCGUCUUGAAACACGGACCAAGGAGUCGUCUUCGUAUGCGAGUGUUCGGGUGUCAAACCCCUACGCGUAAUGAAAGUGAACGCAGGUGAGAGCUUCGGCGCAUCAUCGACCGAUCCUGAUGUUCUCGGAUGGAUUUGAGUAAGAGCAUACGGGGCCGGACCCGAAAGAAGGUGAACUAUGCCUGUAUAGGGUGAAGCCAGAGGAAACUCUGGUGGAGGCUCGCAGCGGUUCUGACGUGCAAAUCGAUCGUCAAAUAUGGGCAUGG